rnacentral:rRNA from 1 species
GACGAACGCUGGCGGCGUGCUUAACACAUGCAAGUCGAACGGUGACCCUCGGAGCUUGCUUCUGGGUGAGCAGUGGCGAACGGGUGGGUAACACGUGAGUAACCUGCCCCUGACUCUGGAAUAAGCGCUGGAAACGGCGUCUAAUACCGGAUACGACACGCCUCCGCAUGGGGAGCGUGUGGAAAGUUUUUCGGUCUGGGAUGGACUCGCGGCCUAUCAGCUUGUUGGUGAGGUAAUGGCUCACCAAGGCGAUGACGGGUAGCCGGCCUGAGGGGGCGACCGGCCACACUGGGACUGAGACACGGCCCAGAGCCCUACGGGAGGCAGCAGUGGGAAAUAUUGCACAAUGGGCGAAAGCCUGAUGCAGCGACGCCGCGUGAGGGAUGACGGCCUUCGGGUUGUAAACCUCUUUCAGCAGGGAAGAAGCGAAAGUGACGGUACCUGCAGAAGAAGCACCGGCUAACUACGUGCCAGCCGCCGCCGUAA